ACACACAAAAAAAAAACAACUUUAUUGAGAGGAAGUGAUUUCCGUUCUGUUUAUUUCGUUGGAGUUCAGAUAGUAAUGUGUCCCUGGUGGUGUCAGACUUGGGUCCCAGCUCAAAAGGUUGAUACGUUCUGAAAUGUGGUCUUCUUCUCUUCCUCUUGUUCCCUAAUGAUCGUGACACAGUCUCUGUUCUGUGUGUGUUUCCGCUGAGCAAGGCCCUGGUCGAAUGUUGCACCCCGCUGAGCAAGGCCCUGGUCAAAUGUUGCACCCCGCUGAGCAAGGCCCUGGUCAAAUGUUUGCACACCCGCUGAGCAAGGCCCCUGGUCGAAUGUUUGCACACCGCUGAGCAAGGCCCUGGUCAAUGUCACGCUGACAAGGCCCGGUCGAUUUGCCCCGCGAGCAGGCCCUGGUCAAUCAGGAGGGUGGUACUUAAGUUCCUUGUGCUAAAACUGAAAUGGUUGCAUUCAAGUGUUGCAGUACUGUGGUUCUUUUUGUGAGGAUGUGUCCAAUUUGUCAUUUCUUUUAUUUUUUUAUUGUAACAUAACCUUUUUAUGUUUAACGAGUAUUAUCAGUGAUGUACUAGAUGGAUGUGAAAUGUUUUAGUCAAUAUUAGACAGUGACAGGUUUUUUCCUUAAAAAACAAAACUUUUUUUUUUUUUUUUCUUUCUGAUUUUUCACUUUGCCAACUCUAAAGAACGUAUUUGAGAGAAGGCAUUUGUGGUUUUAUUCCGUUUAAAGCUUUUAUGUUGU
rnacentral:lncRNA from 1 species